rnacentral:rRNA from 1 species
UGGGGAAUAUUGCACAAUGGGGGAAACCCUGAUGCAGCAACGCCGCGUGAGGGAAGAAGGCCUUCGGGUUGUAAACCUCUUUAGGUGGGGACGAAGAAUGACGGUACCCACAGAAUAAGCACCGGCUAACUACGUGCCAGCAGCCGCGGUAAUACGUAGGGUGCAAGCGUUAUCCGGAAUUACUGGGUGUAAAGGGUGAGUAGGCGGCACAUAAAGUCAUGUGUGAAAUACCUGGGCUUAACCCGGGAACUGCACAAGAAACUUAUGAGCUAGAGUACAGGAGAGGUUGGCGGAAUUCCUAGUGUAGCGGUGAAAUGCGUAGAUAUUAGGAAGAACACCAGUGGCGAAGGCGGCCAACUGGACUGUAACUGACGCUGAAUCACGAAAGCGUGGGGAGCGAACA